GGAUGGGGCUAUAAUGCAGUCGAGGGGCAGCAGGGGUGUAGCAAUACACUCGCUGGCGACCGGCCAACGGGUGCGGAACACGUACGCAACCUACCCAAAACUGGGGAAUAGCCCGGGGAAACCCGGAUUAAUACCUCGUAACAUCAUGGAGUGGCAUCACUUUAUGAUUAUAGCUCAGGCGGUUUUGGAUGGGCGUGCGGCUGAUUAGAUAGUUGGCGGGGUAACGGCCCACCAAGUCUGCGAUCAGUAACUGGUGUGAGAGCACGACCAGUCACACGGGCACUGAGACACGGGCCCGACUCCUACGGGAGGCAGCAGUAAGGAAUAUUGGUCAAUGGACGCAAGUCUGAACCAGCCAUGCCGCGUGGAGGAUGAAGGCCCUCUGGGUUGUAAACUUCUUUUAUGGGGGACGAAACCUCUUUUUCUAAAGAGACUGACGGUACCCUAGGAAUAAGCACCGGCUAACUCCGUGCCAGCAGCCGCGGUAAUACGGAGGGUGCAAGCGUUAUCCGGAUUCACUGGGUUUAAAGGGUGCGUAGGAGGGCAGGUAAGUCAGUGGUGAAAUCCUAGAGCUUAACUCUAGAACUGCCGUUGAUACUAUCUGUCUUGAAUACCGUGGAGGUGAGCGGAAUAUGUCAUGUAGCGGUGAAAUGCUUAGAUAUGACAUAGAACACCAAUUGCGAAGGCAGCUCGCUACACGAAUAUUGACUCUGAGGCACGAAAGCGUGGGGAUCAAACAGGAUUAGAUACCCUGGUAGUCCACGCCCUANACGAUGGAUACUCGACAUACGCGAUACACUGUGUGUGUCUGAGCGAAAGCAUUAAGUAUCCCACCUGGGGAGUACGACCGCAAGG
rnacentral:rRNA from 1 species